AGUCAACAUGCCCAGGAGACGUGGAUAACCUCGGGAAACUGAGGAUAAACCACGAUAGGCCAUGAUGUCUGGAAUGACUUAUGGCUCAAAUCUACAUGGCCCCUGGAUUGGACUGCGGCCGAUCAGGCUGUUGGUGAGGUAAGGCCCACCAAACCUAAAACCGGUACGGGCUCUGAGAGGAGAAGCCCGGAGAUGGGCACUGAGACAAGGGCCCAGGCCCUAUGGGGCGCAGCAGGCGCGAAACCUCUGCAAUAAGCGAAAGCUUGACAGGGUUAUUCUGAGUGAUUUCCGCUAAGGAAGUCUUUUGGCACCUCUAAAAAUGGUGCAGAAUAAGGGGUGGGCAAGCCUGGUGUCAGCCGCCGCGGUAAUACCAGCACCCCGAGUGGUCGGGACGAUUAUUGGGCCUAAAGCAUCCGUAGCCGGUUCUACAAGUCUUCCGUUAAAUCCAGCUGCUUAACAGUUGGGCUGCGGAGGAUACUAUAGAGCUAGGAGGCGGGAGAGGCAAGCGGUACUUAGUGGGUAGGGGUAAAAUCCGUUGAUCCACUGAAGACCACCAGUGGCGAAGGCGGCUUGCCAGAACGCGCUCGACGGUGAGGGAUGAAAGCUGGGGGAGCAAACCGGAUUAGAUACCCGGGUAGUCCCAGCUGUAAACGAUGCAGACUCGGUGAUGAAUAGGCUUCGUGCAUAUUCAGUGCCGCAGGGAAGCCGUUAAGUCUGCCGCCUGGGGAGUACGGUCGCAAGACUGAAACUUAA
rnacentral:rRNA from 1 species